rnacentral:miRNA from 1 species
UGGAAAGAGCAUUGGAUUUGA